CAGAACUGAGCAGUAGCAGCCAUGGCGCGCCAGUGUUGUACCAUCAGCAGUUGCGUGUGCGGCAUCUCCCUGCGCGAUGGGGCCCUCACGAUCGCUGUCGUUAUGAUGUGUGUAUCCAUACUGAGACUUGUGUACGCUGUGACAAACGUCUGUCAUGGCAGGAACGAAGCCUUGUUUGGCGCGCUGGUCGAAGUCAUCAACAUCCCUCUGGCCGUC